GUGGCUCGCUCCAGCAGCACAUAUACUAAAAUUAGAAUGAUACAGAGAAGAUUAUCAUGGCCCCUGUGCAAGGAUUACAUGCAAAUUCAUGAAGUGGUACAUAUUUAU
ensembl:snRNA U6 U6 spliceosomal RNA